rnacentral:tRNA from 1 species
CAGAAAAUAGUUUAUUUAAAAUAUUAGUUUUGGAGACUAAUGAUAGGGGGUUUCCUUUUUUCUGA